rnacentral:rRNA from 1 species
CGGCGCGGCGCAGCGGCCUCGCAAGUCCCUUGGAAGAGGGCGCCGGAGAGGGUGAGAGCCCCGUGGCGAGGCGCGGUGUGUUGUGCGAUUUGCGUUCGAAGAGUCGGGCUGUUUGAGAUCGCAGCCCAAAGCGGGAGGUAAAUUUCUUCCAAAGCUAAGUAUGGGCGGGAGACCGAUAGUGGAAAAGUAGAGCGAUCGAAAGAUGAAAAGAACUUUGAAAAGAGAGUGAAAAGGACCUGAAAUUGUUGAAAGGGAAGAGAUUCGCGGCAGUGGGAACGGUGCGGCGUGGCGAACAACGCGACGCGGAACGGUCUGCAUGGCUUGCCGGCGCCGGAGACGGUCCGCGGAACAAGGUAGGCAUCUCUGCGGAGUGCUGUUAUAGAUCUGGGGACGGUGCGGGCGCGCGGGGAGCGAGGAGGUUAGGAGAUGCAGGCGAAAUGGCGCGAAUCAUCC